rnacentral:rRNA from 1 species
UACGUAGGGUGCAAGCGUUAUUCGGAUUUAUUGGGCGUAAAGGGCGCGUAGGCGGCCAUGCCAGUCAGAUGUGAAAUCCCGGGGCUCAACCCCGGAACAGCAUUUGAAACUACAUUUCUAGAGGGUAGACGGAGAAAACGGAAUUCCACAAGUAGCGGUGAAAUGCGUAGAUAUGUGGAAGAACACCAGUGGCGAAGGCGGUUUUCUAGCUUAUACCUGACGCUGAGGCGCGAAAGCAAGGGGAGCAAACAGG